CAUGCCCCCUUUCAGUCAGGUUAGUCUGUGCCUGCUGCUAAUUCCCUUCUCCUCUUCCGUGGCCCAAUCUUGUUUCUAUUGAAAUCAGCUGCAAUUUACUGUUGGCAUGGCCCUACUAUGGAGGAAAGACACAGGGUGAAGAGGAAGAGCCUGUGUUGUAUGAGAAACUGGGAAAGUCUAAAGCUUUGAGGCAGGAAAGAUGGCUAAAAAAAGUCCACUAACUGACAGAUGGUGUAUCUUGCCAUAAAAUGCUUCCUCAUAGUAUCCUCAGCAGAGAGAAUAGUUGCUUAAUGGCCAUGGGAACUGAGCUACCCCGAAAUGAAGUCCCUUCAAGAAAAGGCUGAGUCAUACUCAUACCUGGGGCAGCAGGGGGUCCUGCUCCCUGGCUGGACGACGUCUCCUAGGAUGCAUUGCAGGCUUCCUGUGACUGAGCUACUAUAGUCCCAUAUUUUGUCUUCUGUUGAAUUUUUUGACAGAAAAUUCUGCUGACAUCUCUCAUUUCCUGUGGAAAAACUUUUGAUUUUGAUGCAACUCCAUUUUCCAAUGGGAAAACAUUUCAUUAGAAAUUUUCUGACUGGCCUGUCUUCCAAGACAGUGGGCACUGUCCUAAAUCAAUGAAAAUAAGUGAGAGCUUUUUUAAACCGUUGUUUUAGUGCUCAGAGCUGUUACUAACCUGGGGAUGACUAUACCUUCUGUACAUAUAACAUAUACUUCUACAACACAUUCCAGAUGAUAUCAAAGGAAUUUUCAAACAAUGAAUGUAGCUUCAAUUCACCCCUGCAUAUUUUACAGAUGAGGUAGCUGAGAUACCGAGAAGUUGCCCUGAUUACACAGAAGUCUCUGGCAGGGGAUAGAAUCCAGGUUUCCUGACUGCCAGACUACUGUCCCUUAACAGCAAGACUCUCCUAUCUUUUUGAGAGCAUGAAGGGAGAGCAGGGAUAGAGG